rnacentral:rRNA from 1 species
AGCUCUGUAAGCGUAUAUCAAAGUUGUUGCAGUUAAAACGCUCGUAGUCGAAUCUUGGCUGAACUUACGCGGAGUCCGCAAGGAUUCUGCGGUUGAGGAAAGCCUUUGUGGAUUGUGUGCGCGGAGGUGUUUUAUUACACUUCCGUCGUACUGCCACCGUUUACUGUGAAAAAAUUAGAGUGUUCAAAGCAAGCGAUUUGCCCUGAAUACAUUAGCAUGGAAUAAUAGAAUAGGACCUGGUCUUAUUUUGUUGGUUUGUAUAAUUUCAGGUAAUGAUUAACAGGGACGGUUGGGGGCAUUUGUAUUCCGAGGCGAGAGGUGAAAUUCUUAGACCCUCGGAAGACAAACAGCUGCGAAAGCGUUUGCCAAGGACGUUUUCAUUGAUCAAGAACGAAAGUAC